rnacentral:rRNA from 1 species
AUUGAACGCUGGCGGCAGGCCUAACACAUGCAAGUCGAACGAGUGGCGGACGGGUGAGUAGUGUCUGGGAACCUGCGUGAUGGAGGGGGAUCAAUUGUGGACACUGUAGCUAAUACCGAAUACCAUCAUAUGUGCCCAGAUGGGAUUAGCUAGGUGGUGGGGUAACGGCUCACCAAGGCGACGAUCCCUAGCUGGUCUGAGAGGAUGACCAGCCACACUGGAACUGAGACACGGUCCGGACUCCUACGGGAGGCAGCAGUGGGGAAUAUUGCACAAUGGGCGCAAGCCUGAUGCAGCCAUGCCGCGUGUAUGAAGAAGGCCUUCGGGUUGUAAAGUACUUUCAGCGGGGAGGCGUUACCCGCAGAAGAAGCACCGGCUAACUCCGUGCCAGCAGCCGCGGUAAUUC